UCAGACGAUGCGUCAUGCAUAUCAAUAAGCGGAGGAAAAGAAACUAACAAGGAUUCCCCUAGUAACGGCGAGUGAAGCGGGAAGAGCUCAAAUUUGAAAUCUUAAAGGGUUUCCCUUUACGAAUUGUAGUUUAAAGAAGUGUUUUCUGUUGAGGUUUUGGUAAAAGUUCUUUGGAAUAGGACAUCAUAGAGGGUGAGAAUCCCGUAUUUGACCUUUACUUUCAACUUUGUGAUACACUUUCAAAGAGUCGGAUUGUUUGGGAAUGCAGUCCAAAAUGGGUGGUAAAUUUCAUCUAAAGCUAAAUAUUGGCGAGAGACCGAUAGCGAACAAGUACCGUGAGGGAAAGAUGAAAAGAACUUUGAAAAGAGAGUUAAACAGUACGUGAAAUUGUCAAAAGGGAAGCGUUUGACACCAGUGUUGUUUUUCUGAAAAUCAAUUAAAGAACUGUUUAUGCUAAGCUGUUUAGACUUUAUCAGCUAUCUGUUUAGUUUUGAGCUUUUCUUUAAUGCACUUUUCAGUUAACAAGUCAACAUCAAUUUCUUUUGCUGUAAAAAAGCUUGAGGAAGGUGGCUUGAGAUUCGUCUUAAGUGUUUAUAGCCUCUUGCCUAUGCAGUCGGAGGAGAUUGAGGUCUGCAGCGUAGAUCCUUCGGGGCUAAAUGCAUUUGUGCUAAGUUAUAGCAUUUUAUAGACAACUUGUUGACUAUGAUUUGUCUUGUAGCUUACUCGCUUAUGUUAUUUUACCUACGCUUAGGAUGUUGACACACGCGCGUGCUCG
rnacentral:rRNA from 1 species